rnacentral:rRNA from 1 species
GAUGAACGCUGGCGGCGUGCCUAAUACAUGCAAGUCGAGCGAACGGACGAGAAGCUUGCUUCUCUGAUGUUAGCGGCGGGCGGGUGAGUAACACGUGGAUAACCUACCUAUAAGACUGGGAUAACUUCGGGAAACCGUAGCUAAUACCGGAUAAUAUUUUGAACCGCAUGGUUCAAAAGUGAAAGACGGUCUUGCUGUCACUUAUAGAUGGAUCCGCGCUGCAUUAGCUAGUUGGUAAGGUAACGGCUUACCAAGGCAACGAUGCAUAGCCGACCUGAGAGGGUGAUCGGCCACACUGGAACUGAGACACGGUCCAGACUCCUACGGGAGGCAGCAGUAGGGAAUCUUCCGCAAAGGGCGAAAGCCUGACGGAGCAACGCCGCGUGAGUGAUGAAGGUCUUCGGAUCGUAAAACUCUGUUAUUAGGGAAGAACAUAUGUGUAAGUAACUGUGCACAUCUUGACGGUACCUAAUCAGAAAGCCACGGCUAACUACGUG